rnacentral:rRNA from 1 species
AGAGUUUGAUCCUGGCUCAGGACGAACGCUGGCGGCGUGCCUAACACAUGCAAGUCGAACGGGGUAAGGCCCUUCGGGACCUUACUUAGUGGCGAACGGGUGAGUAACGCGUGAGGAACCUGCCUUUCAGUGGGGGACAACAGUUGGAAACGACUGCUAAUACCGCAUAAUGCUUUUUGAUGGCAUCAUUGAAAAGCCAAAGAUUUAUUGCUGAAAGAUGGCCUCGCGUCUGAUUAGCUAGUUGGUGGGGUAACGGCCCACCAAGGCGACGAUCAGUAGCCGGUCUGAGAGGAUGAACGGCCACAUUGGGACUGAGAUACGGCCCAGACUCCUACGGGAGGCAGCAGUGGGGAAUAUUGGGCAAUGGGGGAAACCCUGACCCAGCAACGCCGCGUGAAGGAAGAAGGCUUUCGGGUUGUAAACUUCUUUUACCAGGGACGAAAAAAGUGACGGUACCUGGAGAAAAAGCAACGGCUAACUACGUGCCAGCAGCCGCGGUAAUACGUAGGUUGCAAGCGUUGUCCGGAUUUACUGGGUGUAAAGGGCGUGUAGGCGGAGAUGCAAGUUGGGAGUGAAAUCCCGGGGCUUAACCCCGGAACUGCUUUCAAAACUGUAUCCCUUGAGUAUCGGAGAGGCAAGCGGAAUUCCUAGUGUAGCGGUGAAAUGCGUAGAUAUUAGGAGGAACACCAGUGGCGAAGGCGGCUUGCUGGACGACAACUGACGCUGAGGCGCGAAAGCGUGGGGAGCAAACAGGAUUAGAUACCCUGGUAGUCCACGCUGUAAACGAUGAAUACUAGGUGUUGGAGGAUUGACCCCUUCAGUGCCGCAGUUAACACAAUAAGUAAUCCACCUGGGGAGUACGACCGCAAGGUUGAAACUCAAAGGAAUUGACGGGGGCCCGCACAAGCAGUGGAGUAUGUGGUUUAAUUCGACGCAACGCGAAGAACCUUACCAAGUCUUGACAUCCCUUGACGAACAUAGAAAUAUGUUUUCUCUUCGGAGCAAGGAGACAGGUGGUGCAUGGUUGUCGUCAGCUCGUGUCGUGAGAUGUUGGGUUAAGUCCCGCAACGAGCGCAACCCUUGUCCUUAGUAGCCAGCAGUCAGAUGGGCACUCUAGGGAGACUGCCCGGGAUAACCGGGAGGAAGGUGGGGAUGACGUCAAAUCAUCAUGCCCCUUAUGAUUUGGGCUACACACGUGCUACAAUGGCGUAAACAAAGGGAAGCGAGACUGUGAAGUUAAGCAAAUCUCGUAAAUAACGUCUCAGUUCGGAUUGUAGUCUGCAACUCGACUACAUGAAGCUGGAAUCGCUAGUAUCGCGGAUCAGAAUGCCGCGGUGAAUACGUUCCCGGGUCUUGUACUCACCGCCCGUCA